UCCAAAAUAGUUUACUGUAGCAGUCGGUAGAGCAUGAGACUCUUACUCUCAGGGUUGUGGGUUGCAGUCCCAUGUUGGGGGGGGGGGAA